rnacentral:rRNA from 1 species
ACUCAAAUGAAUUGACGGGGACCCGCACAAGCGGUGGAGCAUGUGGUUUAAUUCGAAACAAAGCGAAAAACCUUACCAGGGUUUGACAUCCUAACUGCACGCUCCGCGAAAGCGGAGUUUCUUCGAGAGUGUUAGGACAGGUGCUGCAUGGCUGUCGUCAGCUUGUACCGUGAGGCGCACCCUUAAGUGGGUCAACAAGCGCAACCCUCAUCGUGUGUUAAAUGUUCACACGAAACUGCCCGCUAAAAGCGUGGAGGAAGGCGAGGAUGACGUCAAGUCAGCACGGCCCUUAUAUCCUGGGCUACACACAUCCUACAAUGGGUAGAAACAACGAGCUGCAACAUCGCAAGAUGAAGCUAAUCUCACAAAACUACCCUCAGUUCGGAUUGAAGGCUGCAAUUUGCCUUCAUGAAGCUGAAAUCGCUAGUAAUCGCGGAUCAGCAGGCCGCGGUGAAUACGUUCUCGGGUCUUGUACACACCGCCCGU